AAUUAAUAAGAGCUUCUUCAGUGAUAUUAAAGGAAGAUUGUGUUGGGUGUUAUUCCUUGUACAGGGUGCCAUUUGGACUCCAACCAGCCUAGCAUGCCCUCCUAAGCUGAUAGACUGUGUUUAUUUGUGUUCCUAAACCACUCAUUCAUUGUAAUUUAACUGUCUUCACCAGGGGCUUUUAUCACAUAAAACACUCACCAACAUGUAACUAGGCUUAAAUAAACCAUGUGAUGUGCCUUUAAUAAAAACAACACCCAGCACUUAAACCAGGGCUUGGUGGUCCAGAGCUGUCACAUUUCAUGAGAGCAUACUAUCAGCUAUAUUUAAAAUUUUAAAAAUUACCUUCCAAUGUUUUAACUUAAGAGCGUUCACUUAGAAAACAGUAAUUUUUUGCCCUUUUUUUCUUUUUUCUUUUUAGAGCCACACCUGUGGCAUAUGGAAGUUCCCAGACUAGGGGUUGAAAUGCAGGAUGUGAGCUACAUCUGUGACCUACACCACAGCUCACAGAAAUGCUGGAUUCUUAACCUGCGGAGCAAGGCCAGGGAUGGAACCCACGUCCUUAUGGAUACUAGUUGGGUUUGUUACCCCUGAACCACAAAGGGAACUCCUUUUUUGCCUUUUUUGAGACGAAAAAAACAACAAUAGGAAAUUGAGAAAUCUGGCAGCCUAUAGACCCCCUCCUUCCUCACGCAAACAAUCGGAUGGCAUUGAAUGGUGGGUGCCCUCCUGGUGCUUUCCCACGUUCCACCGUCUUAACCACUCCCUAUUGCCUCCUCAGACCGAGGCCUAGUAGCAAUUUGUGUUUAUUAUCGUGGUUUCAUUGUUUUUCUCAUGAUUGAGGUAAGAAGAAAGUGAGCUAUGUCUUACCACCAUGAAAACAGCCCUUUCACUCAUUUGCCUUAGAAGUCUAGCCUCUCUAAGGGUUAGACGUUUGAAUGUGCUGACAUCUGAGUUAAAUACACAUUUCCAUCAACAUACCUCAAUUAGUUACUUAUUGGUGGAGAGUGGUCUUGGCACAUACAUACUUAAAAUGCUUUCUCUUUCUCCGAUUACUUCAACACUAAAAUCUCCUUUUUGACUCACUUCAUACUGGUCAGAACAGCCAUCAUCAAAAAGUCUACAAAUAAUAAAUGCUGGAGAGAGUGUGGAGAAAAGGGAACCCUCCUGCCCUGUUGGUAGGAAUGUAAGUUGGUACAACCACUAUGGAGAACAGUAUGGAGGUUCCUCAGAAAACUAAGGAUAGAGUUACCAUAGGAUCCAGCAAUCCCAUUCCUGGGCAUACAUCCAGAGAAAACCAUACUUUGAAAAGAUACAUGCACCCUGAUGUUCAUUGCAGCAGUAUUUACAACAGCCAAGACAUGGAAGCAACCCAAUGUCCAUUGACAGAGGAAUGGAUAAAGAAAAUGUGGUACAUAUAAACAGUGGAAUAUUGCUCAGCCAUAAAAAGAAUGAAACAUUGCCAUCUGAGGCAACAUGGAUGGACCUAGAGAUUAUCAUACUAAGGAAGUAGGUCAGGUAGAGAAAGACAAAUAUUAUAUGGCAUCACUUAUAUAUGGAAUUUAAAAAUAAUACAAGUCAACUUAUAAAACAGAAACAGAUUCAUAGAUUUCAAAAACAAACUUAUGGUUACCAAAGGGGAAAGGGGAGGGAGAGAGAUAAAUUAGGAGUAUGGGAUUAAUAGAUAUAUACCAUUAUAUAGAAAAUAGGUAAACAACAAUCAUUUACUGUAUAGCACAUGGAACUAUAUUCAAUAUCUUAUCAAAAUAACAUAAGGGAAGACUCUGAAGUUAUACACCUGAAACUAACACAAUAUUGUAAAUCAACCAUAGUUUAAUAAAAAAGAAAGAAAAAUAAAAUCUCCCUUUUGGUUGGAAUUGCUGUCAACUCAAGGAGAACCUAGUAUGACCUCGAUAAUUUAAGAAACAUAUGAUUGGGUCCUUUAGAGGAAAUUGACUCACUGAUCCUGGAGUCUCCCCAAUCCAAUUACACUGACGACACCUGUUUGAUUCAGACAUCGCUCCCCCCCCCGCCCCCGCAUAUGCAGUAUACUAAAUGAAAGUUCUGGUCCACACAACCCCUUCUUUAUUUUUACCUUAAAAAAUUGUAAAUAUUUGUUUGUAUUUUCCAUCCAGGUGGAGAAAUCAAGAAAAGAGGCCCUCUCUGGCUAGCAAGUUGCAACAAAGCAUAUUUAGUUACAUCUAGUUAGGAUAGAGCUGGAGAAAGGAAACAGGAAGAGAGAGAGGAGUGGGUGAAAAUUAAGACCAUUGGAAGAUGUUGCACAGGACACGAGGAGGAGAUAGGGGCAGCUGGGAGCAGGUGUGCAGGAGCGGCAGAAAUGUGUGUGCUGGGGAAAGGCGUGCAGAAGGAAGGCAGCAGAGGAGAGAGGAGCAGGCAGAGCUCCGGGACACUCACGGUUGAGCUGCCGCCUCCGGAUCCUGUCCCUCCAUGGCCUGUUCCUGAUCCAGUGCAAUCGCGAAGGAUGGAGGGGGAAGAGACUGAGGGAGAUAAAGAAACAGCGAGAGGAUCUUCCCUCCCUGACGUUUCUGCCAAGGGUCCUGGACUCAUGAGAUCUGCCCAGCUUGCUUGAGGGAGCUCAUCCAAGGAGCCCGGAGGUCUCUGCCUUCCCAGGUUAACAUAUUCAGAUUUAAAAUUCAUAGUAGGCACUGGGCAUACAAAGAUGCAUAAUUCAUGGGUUUUCCCGGAGAGCUUAAAAUCCAGUGGGGAAUGUAGAUAGAGGCACAAACAGUUCUAUUUCCAGAUCCAGUGACGGUGGUGGAGCAGCAGCAAGUCACGCGGAGUCUGGAUGUAGAGAACCAAUUCUGUGGAAAUUCAAGGCAUCCAAGCUAUGCCUUGAAAGAUGGGCCAGAUGUCAAGGGGUGGUGAGGAACGAGAAAAAGGCAUUGCUGGCCAAAGACUCACAGGAGCAAAGGCCGUGGGAGGAAGUGACAGGUACAUUUUGAAUGGAGUGAAAGAAGGAGGGAAGGUGGGGAGCAGAGUGUGCCCUGAAAGGGGGGCUUCACAGCUGGUCUGGUCAUAGUAAAGGAGGUGAGCUCCUUCUGGCCUCUGUGGGCCUCCCUCACCCACGGGCUGAUCUGCCUCCUCCCUGUCAGGGGUCCACAGUUCUCACACUUCCUCCCUCACCGCAGCUGGGCUGACAGGAAGUACUGAAGACGUUGACUGAGACCACAGGGUGUUGCUCUGUGAAUGACAGAGGAAGGUAUUAUCUCAAGACACCAGAAGUUGCCCUCUUGGAGCCUCCGAAAAGGGGGAGCAGCCUCCGUGGAGCCAUCUUGUUCCGACGUGUGGUGCUGAGGCCUGGAGCCUGAGAAGAGGGCAACGAGGGAAGGCCGGUCUCGGGGAACUACCUCACACCAAGCCAAAUCUCGACAGAAAGACGGAUGCAAAUCAGAAAGGAAGUAUGUUAAUGUACAAAGAGGAAGAAAAACUGCCAAGAAAAUGAAACAUGUAGAUUAUCUGGUUAACAUAUUCAAAUGCGAAGUAAACUUUAAAAAUACAAAAGA